CACAAACUAAGCUACAAAUAUUCUAGUUAACUUGAUGAGAAUCAUAUAGAAUAUAAUAAUAAGAUUAGGAAUGAUUUAACUCUGUAUAUAAAGUCGAAUUAAUCAUAACUUUGUGAUUGCAAGCCAAAAGAGAAGAAAUACACUAAGAGACUGUUGGGUCAUCAUGGGGAACUCUUGAACAUCGAAGAGAUAUCGAGAAAAAAUCAAGAGAAUAUAAGAUGAGAAGACACUACAUCUAACUCAAAAACCUUAAGAGACAUUUAUGGCCAAGAUCAAUGUGACAAAUGCACUAGCAAUAAUACUUAUAACCGGAGUGAUUAUUUAUUUGGUCAUUAUUACUGAAUUUCAAGACACUCUUCUUGAAAGGCCCUUGAGUCUAUCACAUUAUGAUUUUUCAUCUGAUGAGAUACAACUUCAAGCGUGUAUUAACAGAUGUCGAAGAAUCUUUCCUAACCAUAGAGGGAAGGAAAUUGAAUGCAUGAACAAGUGUCGUCAAAUGUUUGGCUAGUACUUUAGUUUGCUCAAUGGAGUUCUAUGGAAUGUAUCUGAAAAUUAAAUAGUGUUCUAGUGUACCAUGUAUUAUUCCUUGUAUUGAGCCUCUUCGAUCGAUGAUGUAGCUGAACUAUUUCCUCAUUAUUCGCCAUUUUGGGUUACAAAUGGUGUAUUUCUUUUUUUUGGGUUACAAAUGGAAUUGCGCAUCCACAUUGCAUUAUUACUUAGGCGUAUCCCUUAUAUCAUAUAUAACUUAUAGAGAAAAGUUCAAGAUCAA